rnacentral:rRNA from 1 species
GACAGAGGGUGCAAACGUUGCUCGGAAUCACUGGGCGUAAAGGGCGUGUAGGCGGGAGAGAAAGUCGGGCGUGAAAUCCCUAGGCUCAACCUAGGAACUGCACUCGAAACUUCUUUUCUUGAGUGCCGGAGAGGAAAGCGGAAUACCUGGUGUAGAGGUGAAAUUCGUAGAUAUCAGGUGGAACACCAGUGGCGAAGGCGGCUUUCUGGACGGUAACUGACGCUGGAGGUGCGAAAGCGUGGGGAGCAAACAGG